UACGGAGGGUGCAAGCGUUGUCCGGAAUCAUUGGGCGUAAAGAGCGCGUAGGCGGCCAGAUAAGUCCGGUGUGAAAGUCAAAGGCUCAACCUUUGAAUGCCGCCGGAAACUGUCUGGCUAGAGUCCGGGAGGGGCGAGUGGAAUUCCUGGUGUAGCGGUGAAAUGCGCAGAUAUCAGGAGGAACACCAGUGGCGAAGGCGGCUCACUGGCCCGGUACUGACGCUGAGGCACGAAAGCGUGGGGAGCAAACAGG
rnacentral:rRNA from 1 species